UGAAGGGAUGCAUAGUACCCAUUGAUAGAUUUAUUAAAAUGUGAGAAAUAUGAUUUUAUUUUGCACCAAACAUUAGUCAAUAUCCUGUUAACAAUUUCAUCUAAUUUAUUUAAUUUAUUCUAACAGCCGCAACACCACACAAAAGAAAAUGUGUCUGUCGUCACGAGGGAAGAGUCUAUGUGCCAGGUAAAGAAUGCAAUACUAGAAUCAGAGGAACUUCACAAUAGCCAGGCAGAACACUGCCGUUACCUAUAGUUGAUAUGAUCAAGAACAAGCAAUUAGCUUUCUUUUCUUUCUUCUUGCAGAUCAGGAAAUAGAAAGCAGCCACAGCCGUGAAAAGGAUGGAAAAUGCUACAGUCUUGUGUGUGACAGCAACUGCGAGAAAAGAACAAGCGAGAUAACAUGUCCACCAGUUCGACAACGUACCACAACACCACAUGAAAGAAAAUGUCUCUGUCAUCAUGAUGGAAGAGUGUACAUGCCAGACCAGGAAAUAAUAAGCAGCCACAGUAGUGAAAAGGAUGGAAAAUGCUACAGUCUUGUAUGUGACAGCAACUGCGUGAAAAGAACAAGCGAGAUAACAUGUCCACCAGUUACACCACCAACCACAACACCACACAAAAGAAAAUGUGUCUGUCGUCAUGAGGGAAGAGUCUAUGUGCC